ACAUGCUUCUUUAUAUCCUCAUAGAUAUCACUGCGCUAUGGAAUGUAAGGAAGUGUGUGG
rnacentral:pre_miRNA from 1 species